CCCACCAAGACAUCGAUGGAUAGGGGUUCUGAGAGGAAGGUCCCCCACAUUGGAACUGAGACACGGUCCAAACUCCUACGGGAGGCAGCAGUGAGGAAUAUUGGUCAAUGGACGAGAGUCUGAACCAGCCAAGUAGCGUGAAGGAUGACUGCCCUAUGGGUUGUAAACUUCUUUUAUAUGGGAAUAAAGUGAGCCACGUGUGGCUUUUUGUAUGUACCAUACGAAUAAGGAUCGGCUAACUCCGUGCCAGCAGCCGCGGUAAUACGGAGGAUCCGAGCGUUAUCCGGAUUUAUCGGGUUUAAAGGGAGCGUAGGCGGAUUAUUAAGUCAGUUGUGAAAGUUUGCGGCUCAACCGUAAAAUUGCAGUUGAUACUGGUAGUCUUGAGUGCAGCAGAGGUAGGCGGAAUUCGUGGUGUAGCGGUGAAAUGCUUAGAUAUCACGAAGAACUCCGAUUGCGAAGGCAGCUUACUGGACUGUAACUGACGCUGAUGCUCGAAAGUGUGGGUAUCAAACAGGAUUAGAUACCCUGGUAGUCCACACAGU
rnacentral:rRNA from 1 species